CUUGGGUGCUUCUUGUUCCAUUGGUACUCCUUUGCCUCAUUUUAACUGUGAAUGCUGCAACCCUAGGUGAAGAAGAAGGCUAUGAUUAUUGCAGAAUCAGGUACUUCAAGAAUGAAAGUUUGACACUCACACUACCAAGCAAGGUUGGAAAAAGUUUGAAAUGGAUAAUGAUGGAAGGAGGGUAACCAUGGAACUGAUCCAUGAACCUGUGUGGAGAUUUUGAGCUCUACAGCAAGCGUGAGUGGACACUGGUGGUCAUGAGAAUGGGAGCAUGGUUGACCAAGAACCCUAGCUGCUGUACUCUGGAAUUUAUCAGCCACAUUUGCACUGAAGAUAAAUUUCUCACUGACUAAUCAAGCCAAUGACUGAAAGUGAAGCGUAAACUUGGUUCAAAUAGCGAGUCUGUGCUGCCACCUGCUGGAAAAUGUGAGAAAAUUGUCUGUUUUAAUGGAAUAGCAGUGAUGUAUGCUGCAUUAAAUAAGAAAACUCAGGUAAUGUUCAUGAUAUU
rnacentral:lncRNA from 10 species